CAAUUACCAACAAUAACAUUAUUCAAGGAAAGGUUUACAAAAGACCGUCCAAAUGAAACGGUAUAUCCAAAGGAAGUAAGUUUAGAAACAGAUAUCAAGUUUCUUGAAAAUCCAGGUACAUAGAAGGUAUUUUCUAGGUACAAAAUAUGGCCAGUCUUUAAGGUCAAUUUGAACGUUCCAACAGCUUCCACAUGUGAACGCAUCUUAUUUCCCAUUAUGAUGCUUCGCUCACUUUCCGUUGGAAUUCUUUUGUUCAAUAAUCCCUG
rnacentral:lncRNA from 1 species